rnacentral:rRNA from 1 species
AGCAAGCGCACGAAGGCGUACACGGCGGCCGAGGACAAGCUUCUUUGCGAGUGUUGGCGAGACAUUGGACAAGACCCCAAGACGGGCGCCGAGCAAAAGCAUUCAACCUUUUGGAUUCGUGUCCACCGAGAGUUUCAUGAGCGCAAGAAGUUUCCGCCUUACCAAUUUGUGAGCACGCGCGGGUGGGUCUCCAUUUCCAAGCGGUGGAGGGUGAUCCAACAAGAGUGCAACAAGUUUUGCGCCACUCUUGAGAGCGUCAAGACCCGCCCCGUGAGAGGCAUCGGCAUGCAAGACAUGGUAUGCUAG